rnacentral:rRNA from 1 species
CCUACGGGGUGCAGCAGUGGGGAAUAUUGCACAAUGGGGGAAACCCUGAUGCAGCGACGCCGCGUGAGUGAAGAAGUAUUUCGGUAUGUAAAGCUCUAUCAGCAGGGAAGAUAAUGACGGUACCUGACUAAGAAGCCCCGGCUAAAUACGUGCCAGCAGCCGCGGUAAUACGUAGGGGGCAAGCGUUAUCCGGAUUUACUGGGUGUAAAGGGAGCGUAGGUGGCAGGGCAAGUCAGAUGUGAAAACCCGGGGCUCAACCCCGGGAGUGCAUUUGAAACUGUCCAGCUGGAGUGCAGGAGAGGUAAGCGGAAUUCCUAGUGUAGCGGUGAAAUGCAUAGAUAUAUGGAAGAACACCAGUGGCGAAAGCGGCUCUCUGGUCUGUAACUGACGCUGAGGUUCGAAAGCGUGGGUAGCAAACAGGAUUAGAUACCCUAGUAGUC